GGGCCCAGUGGAGGGGGGUGGGGCCCGCGAAGGUGGGGACACACUCUUGCUCGCUUCUGCGUCGACCGCGGAAAGUGGGAUUCGUAAGAGGA